UGUGUGGAGCAUUCUGGUUCUCCUGCACAGGUACAGAGCUUGGGGUGCACUUUUAUAGGAAAUUAAUCAACGUUGGUGCAGUAACAGGAACUCUGCUUCAUCACACCACCGUGUCGUUGAUUAUUUUACCACAACAGCAACAAACCACAGUGUUUAUUUAUCCUGUACAUGCUGCAGUGAUUCAGCAACAAAAAAUCAACUGUACACAAUUUUUUAAGGAGGCGGGGAUCAGGGGGCGGAGUCAUGCUACACUGCACUGAGGAAAAAGACGAUCCAAGAUUGCAGCUUCCAGAAUGUUCCAGUGUUCACCUACAGCUAGUCGCAGCUCUUCCCACACCGGUGCUGCUGCUGUCGUCUCCUACAGUAGCUCUGUCCUGAGAGAAAGAUCGAGGUUAGAUCACAUCUCAUGUCGAGUCAGAACGUCGCUGUGCUACAUUCAAAUCCCAAGACAGCACCAACAAUAGAGCACGGCGGUGGAACUGGCGUUAGCACCAGUAUCGUUUUCCACCUCUGGGAUGCGUUCUGAAAGCCAUCCUUUUGACUUUGACACGUCCUCCGAGUCGGCGUACAAAUGGAUGAGGACGGCUGUGAAACCUGCAGCGUUCCUCCGACAAUGAAGAACUUUUAAUUUGUCUCUGUUAAACCCUGCCUUUAGACCCAUUGUAACAUGGAGUUCUCAAAGUUCCCGGGCUUGUAAAAGAAUCCGGUGGAUGGCCAGCGAAGCUUGAUAGCCAUGGUUACAGGUUAAUACAGAUCACAAACGGGGCGGAGCUUGCUAUUGCGUCCUUUGUUGGACAGAUAACAAAGAUGCAUCUGGCUUUACUCCUGCACCUUUUGUCCCGUUCAGUUACACCAUUAACAUCACUGAGCUGCAGCUGGGACGCUCCAACACCGAGUCUGACCUUUGACCUCACUCUGAACUGCUUCGGUACCGUGGUUAAAGGAGCGGAGGUUGGGCUUUGAGUCUGAAACCAAUGCUUUAUUUAUUUAUUUAUAAUUCUAAAUCACAAA